UACAAGUGAGGCACCAUCUGUAACACAGAA
rnacentral:piRNA from 1 species